UCGACCUCAGAUCGGACGCGAUUACCCGCUGAAUUUAAGCAUAUCACUAAGCGGAGGAAAAGAAACUAACAAGGAUUCCCGUAGUAACGGCGAGUGAACGGGGAAUAGCCCAGCGUCGAAUCCCUCGGCUCUUAGUCGACGGGAAUUGUGACGUUGAGGUCAGCCUCUGAGCCGUUCGGCGUGCGUC
rnacentral:rRNA from 4 species